rnacentral:lncRNA from 1 species
UUGAGAUUCACUUCCAUUUAAAGAAAAAUACUUUCUUUUCCAGCAAAGAAUUGCUGCUCUGCAUUUAUUUAAAUUGGUUCAUGAUUUCAUUUCCAUCCUCUUUUCUACUGCUCAAGUGGGAGAAAUCUAGUGAAAGCGUAAUCUAAGGACUAAUGAGCAAACUGCUAAGUGCUGGUUUAGUGAAAGUUGAUUUUUCAGUAUUUCACUGGUUGGAAAAAGUGCACUUUUAAAGAUUUUUACCAAGUGUAUCACUAAUAUUGUGUCAGCUAUUUUCCAGUGAUCUGGAUAUGGCCAGAAGAUUGAAGUUGCAAGGGAAGAGGACGUAACUGAAAUCCUAAACACUCUUCGAGGCCAUUUCCCACCACUGUAAGUACUCUAAAUGAUGGCUGCAAGGUAUGCUUCCAAAAAGAUCAGGAAAUAUACUAAAAUGUGAGUACUGAUUAUUUUUCAGUGAGUAAAUUUUAAGAAAUGAAAAUGCUACUUCCCAUAGCUCAGGGUAAAUAAAUUUAAAAACCUAUACAAAACAGAGAAUUACCUGGGAUAACACAAUUGACCAAAACAAUCAAAAGUGCAACAAGAUAAUUCCCGCAUUUAUUAAGGUAGAAUAACUGGAUUUUUAAAAAGCUCUUCUUUAGAGUCGUUCAACAAAGAUAUUAAGUUCCAGAACUAAACAUCUUGCCUUUUGCAGCAACAUGCACGGAACUAGAGAGUAUUAUGCUCAGUGAAAUAAGUCAAUCAGAAAAGGACAAUUACCAUAUGCUCUCACUCACAUGUGGAAUUUAAGAAACAAAACAGAGGAUCAUAGAGGAAGAGAGAAGAAAAUAAAAGAAGAUGAAAUCAAAGAGGGAUACAAAAUAAUCAUGGACCUGUCUUCUGAGAUCAUUGAUUAUCUCACAAAAGUUCUUCAGCAAGUCCCUUGAUGUAGACUUAUUUAUGGCAAUCUCUUUAUAUAUAAAUAAAAUAUGUAUUUCAUCUGAAAAUAUGUUUAGUCUGUCUUCCCUUUUGAUUUUUUUUUUUCAGGAAUACAGAAGUUGAAGGUAGUUUUCUCCUAGCCCUUCAAAUGUAUUAUUCCCUGC